GAUGAACGCUAGCGGCAGGCCUAAUACAUGCAAGUCGAACGAUACCAGAGAGCUUGCUUUCUGGGAAAGUGGCGCACGGGUGCGUAACGCGUAUGCAACCUACCUUAAUCAGGGGGAUAGCCUCUCGAAAGAGAGAUUAACACCGCAUAACAUCAUUUUACGGCAUCGUAGAAUGAUCAAAUAUUUAUAGGAUUAAGAUGGGCAUGCGUGACAUUAGCUAGUUGGUGAGGUAACGGCUCACCAAGGCUACGAUGUCUAGGGGAUCUGAGAGGAUGACCCCCCACACUGGUACUGAGACACGGACCAGACUCCUACGGGAGGCAGCAGUAAGGAAUAUUGGUCAAUGGAGGCAAUUCUGAACCAGCCAUGCCGCGUGCAGGAAGACGGCCCUAUGGGUUGUAAACUGCUUUUAUACGGGAAUAAACCUCUCUACGUGUAGGGAGUUGAAUGUACUGUAAGAAUAAGGAUCGGCUAACUCCGUGCCAGCCGCCGCAGUAAAAC
rnacentral:rRNA from 1 species